rnacentral:rRNA from 1 species
AGAGUUUGAUCCUGGCUCAGGAUGAACGCUGGCGGUCUGCUUAACACAUGCAAGUCGAACGGAAUCUUCGGAUUUAGUGGCGGACGGGUGAGUAACGCGUGAGAAUCUGCCUUCAGGUUGGGGACAACAGUUGGAAACGACUGCUAAUACCCAAUGUGCCGAGAGGUGAAAGCUUUAGUGCCUGAAGAUGAGCUCGCGUCUGAUUAGCUAGUUGGUGAGGUAAUGGCUUACCAAGGCGACGAUCAGUAGCUGGUCUGAGAGGAUGAUCAGCCACACUGGGACUGAGACACGGCCCAGACUCCUACGGGAGGCAGCAGUGGGGAAUUUUCCGCAAUGGGCGCAAGCCUGACGGAGCAAGACCGCGUGAGGGAAGAAGGUCUGUGGAUUGUAAACCUCUUUUGAUAGGGAAGAAGACAGUGACGGUACCUAUCGAAUCAGCCUCGGCUAACUCCGUGCCAGCAGCCGCGGUAAUACGGAGGAGGCAAGCGUUAUCCGGAAUUAUUGGGCGUAAAGAGUCCGUAGGUGGGUAACCAAGUCAGCUGUUAAAUAGUGAAGCUUAACUUCAUAGAGGCGGCUGAAACUGGUUGUCUAGAGUGUGGUAGGGGUAGAGGGAAUUUCCAGUGUAGCGGUGAAAUGCGUAGAUAUUGGAAAGAACACCGGUGGCGAAGGCGCUCUACUGGGCCUGCACUGACACUGAGGGACGAAAGCUAGGGGAGCGAAAGGGAUUAGAUACCCCUGUAGUCC